rnacentral:tRNA from 1 species
CGGAUGUAGUUUAGUGGUAGAACUCCAGCUUCCCAAGCUGGCCGUGUGGGUUCGAUUCCCAUCAUCCG